AGAGGAAGUAAAAGUCGUAACAAGGUCUCCGUUGGUGAACCAGCGGAGGGAUCAUUACUGAGUUUACGCUCUACAACCCUUUGUGAACAUACCUACAACUGUUGCUUCGGCGGGUAGGGUCUCCGCGACCCUCCCGGCCUCCCGCCUCCGGGCGGGUCGGCGCCCGCCGGAGGAUAACCAAACUCUGAUUUAACGACGUUUCUUCUGAGUGGUACAAGCAAAUAAUCAAAACUUUUAACAACGGAUCUCUUGGUUCUGGCAUCGAUGAAGAACGCAGCGAAAUGCGAUAAGUAAUGUGAAUUGCAGAAUUCAGUGAAUCAUCGAAUCUUUGAACGCACAUUGCGCCCGCCAGCAUUCUGGCGGGCAUGCCUGUUCGAGCGUCAUUUCAACCCUCAAGCUCUGCUUGGUGUUGGGGCCCUACAGCCGAUGUAGGCCCUCAAAGGUAGUGGCGGACCCUCCCGGAGCCUCCUUUGCGUAGUAACUUUACGUCUCGCACUGGGAUCCGGAGGGACUCUUGCCGUAAAACCCCCCAAUUUUCCAAAGGUUGACCUCGGAUCAGGUAGGAAUACCCGCUGAACUUAAGCAUAUCA
rnacentral:rRNA from 1 species